AGUGGGAUAACUGGGUAAUAGUUCCAUUCUGAGUUUUCUAAGGAAUCUCCAUACUGCUUUCCAGAGUGGUUGCACCAAUUUGCAGUCCCAUCAGCAAU
rnacentral:pre_miRNA from 1 species